rnacentral:rRNA from 1 species
GCCCAUUAACUAAGCCCCACCAACCCAAAAAACAAUUACAUAUACCCAUCCCAUCAAAACAUUCACCAAUCUGAGUAUAGGUGAUAGAAAAGAUAAUAGGGAGCAAUAACGCCAGUACCGUAAGGGAAAAAUGAAAGAUACACUUCCAGCCCUAAAAAGCAAAGACUAAACCUUGUACCUUUUGCAUAAUGAUUUAGCCAGAAAAAUCGGACAAAAAGUAUUUCGCCCGCCUCCCCGAAAUCAAGUGAGCUACUAUAAAACAGCUAUCAGAGCAAACUCGUCUAUGUAGCAAAAUAGUGAGAAGAUUUUAUAGUAGAGGUGAAAAGCCUAUCGAACUUGAAGAUAGCUGGUUAUCCAAAAAACGAAUUUUAGUUCAACUUUAAAUCUAAUCAAAUUACCUUAAAACUUAACUUAGAUUUAAAAGCUAAUUAAAAGGGGGACAGCCCUUUUAAUAACGUAGACAAACUUACCUAGAGGAUAAUGAAUAACCUACACACAUUGUUGGCUUAAAAGCAGCCACCAACUAAGAAAGCGUUAAAGCUCAAACACACCCCAUAUCUAAUUCCAACAUAAACACCAAAAUCCCUAACUCCAACUAUUGGAUGAUUCUAUAAACAUAUAGAAGACACACUGCUAAAACUAGUAACAAGAAACCUUUUCUCCUAGCACAAGCCUACAUUAGCAACGGAAACCCCACUAACAAUUAACAACCUACUUACAUCAAUCUUAAACUAGCUAAUUACCAAACAACUUGUUAAUCCAACACAGGAGUGCACUUAAGGAAAGAUCAAACAGAAUAAAAGGAACUCGGCAAAUACAUGACCCCGCCUGUUUACCAAAAACAUCACCUCUAGCAUUCCAAAUAUUAGAGGCAACGCCUGCCCAGUGAGUUUAACUUCAACGGCCGCGGUAUCCUGACCGUGCAAAGGUAGCAUAAUCACUUGUCUCCUAAUUAGAGACUUGCAUGAAAGGCACCACGAGGGUUUAACUGUCUCUUAUUCUACAUCAGUGAAACUGACCUUCCCGUGCAGAGGCGGGAAUACUGAUACAAGACGAGAAGACCCUGUGGAGCUUAAGAUUCAUAGUCUAAACAAUAACAUCCAAUACCGCAAGGCAUAAAAUCAUAGAAUCCUAGACUAUAACCUUUGGUUGGGGUGACCUCGGAGCAUAAAAUAACCUCCGAAUGAAAUAACCAAGAUUUACUGAUCUAAGUGUAACAAACCAGUAAUUGACCCAAAUUUUGAUCAACGGACCAAGUUACCCCAGGGAUAACAGCGCAAUCCUAUUCAAGAGCCCAUAUCGACAAUUAGGGUUUACGACCUCGAUGUUGGAUCAGGACAUCCAAAUGGUGCAACCGCUAUUAAUGGUUCGUUUGUUCAACGAUUAAAGUCCUACGUGAUCUGAGUUCAGACCGGAGAAAUCCAGGUCGGUUUCUAUCUGUACCUUAAUUUCUCCCAGUACGAAAGGAACAGAGAAAUAAGGCCAACAUCACAAAAUGAGCCUUAUGAACAAGAUAUGAAUCCAUCUAAAUAUCUUAACCUAACAACUUUGAACUCUAGAAACAGAGCC